AAGUUUCCAUUACUGUUUGAAAUCUGUGUGGAGCAAAACUGUACUGUUGAUAGAAUCGACACGUUGAAUCAUAUUACCUCCUUUAGGAGGAGGAUGUCCCCUCAAAAGAUGAAACAAUGGGAUAAAAUGAAAAAGGAGGUAUUAACACUUAAGCAAAAUGAUCUGCCAGAUGAGAUUUAUUGGAAAUUUGAUAACUCUGGAAAAUACAUGACCAAAUCGAUGUAUAGGUGGUUGGAAAAAGAUAUUGCUGGGUCUAGCUUCAAGUGGAUUUGGGAUGCUAAGCUCCCCCUAAAAAUCCAAAUCUUCUUAUGGUAG
rnacentral:rRNA from 1 species